rnacentral:misc_RNA from 1 species
AACGCACGAGACCUGCGGACCUGCGGAGGGAUCAUCACCGCAUUUCAUUUAUUGUUUCUGUGAACCGGGAGGCUGUGGGCUGGUUGGCGGGCACGCACGGUCGCGGUAGCGGCCGUGCUGUGUGUGCUGUGAGCUCGCGCAGCGAGCGAGCGAGUGAGGCGGGGCGCGGGGUGCGGGGUGGGGCGCGCAGCGCACCACACCCGUGUCAACCCGUGUCACGCACGCGCGCAUGCGCCCGUA